AUGACCUCACUAAGUCAGAGAGCCGUGUCUCUACAGUCACAGGUUUUUGUACGGCGGCUCAAUGACUUUGUAUCACUGUGGUACACGUUCGGUGGAGGAACCAGACUGGAUCUUGGAUGUGAUACACGUCCCACCCUGACGGUGCUGCCCCCGUCCUUUGAAAUGCUGCAAAAUGGGACGGCCACGCUCAUGUGCCUGGCCAACAAGGGCUUCCCCUCAGGCUGGAGUCUGGCCUGGAAGGUGGGCGACGGCAGCAACAUCAGCAGCAGCUGGGAGGAGAGCAAGAGCCCUGCUGUGCUGGAGAAGGACGGCCACUACAGCUGGAGCAGCACCCUGAGCCUCCCUGCAGACCAGUGGAGGAAGCUGGGCUCUGUGACCUGUGAGGCCACCCAGGGCUCCCAGACUCUGGUCUCAGAGACACUGAGGAGAGACCAGUGUUCCCAGUCCUGACUCACUGGGACUCUGCUCCUGCUUUAACUCUGAUCCUGGUCUCUAUCUGCUCUCUGCUGCUGUCUCUCUCUCUUUAUUUCACAGCUUUCAGCACAAACAUUUACCAGCUUGUUGUUUUCUUUGAGUUUCAUUAACAGACAAU